AACGAACGCUGGCGGCAUGCCUAACACAUGCAAGUCGAACGAGACCUUCGGGUCUAGUGGCUCACGGGUGCGUAACGCGUGGUAACCUGCCCUUAGGUUCGGAAUAACUCCCCGAAAGGGGUGCUAAUACCGGAUAAUGUCUUCGGACCAAAGAUUUAUCGCCUUUGGAUGGGCCCGCGUUGGAUUAGCUAGUUGGUAGGGUAAAAGCCUACCAAGGCGACGAUCCAUAGCUGGUCUGAGAGGAUGAUCAGCCACACUGGGACUGAGACACGGCCCAGACUCCUACGGGAGGCAGCAGUGGGGAAUAUUGGACAAUGGGCGAAAGCCUGAGCCAGCAAUGCCGCGUGAGUGAUGAAGGCCUUAGGGUUGUAAAGCUCUUUUACCCGGGAUGAUAAUGACAGUACCGGGAGAAUAAGCUCCGGCUAACUCCGUG
rnacentral:rRNA from 1 species